AAAGGUCAACUUUGGACCCCAUCCCUCAGCAAGGACAAAUUGUGUUUGGCCUCCCUCCCCUUUUCCUUUCCAGUCAUAAAUGAACAAAAAAAUAUAAAUCCCCUCUAAGAACCCAGUGCAUGAUGGGUCAGUCCACAUCCCUUUUUCACCAGCCGUCACAUCAAAGUCCGGGUUCCACUUGGAAAACCAUUUUUCAAAAAAAAAUUAUCUUUCACCCUUUC
rnacentral:lncRNA from 1 species